AUUUUUAAGAUUUCCAGUCCCUGUGCUUUCUCCUCUCCAAGGCUCUGGAAGGCCAUCUGCUGGGUUAGACAAUGGCUUGGGAAGUAGAAGCUGGAAUUGAGGAAGGAAUCUGACAACCCAUCGCUACAGACUAGGGCUUCCGCCUUCUGUGGGUUUGGAUUGGAGUCCGAGUCUUUCUAGCUCUGCAAGUCAGGGAAGAAAAUGUAUAAUCAGUACCCUACUAAUCACUAGGGCCCUGCAUUUAUCUCUGCCCUUUUGUAAUUGCUAAAUUGUAAGAUCCAUAAGUGUGGGAAUGUUCAUUGUUCAUAUUUACAUUCCUAAUACCUAUCCCCCCUGCUAUUCCAUGUCAGAACAAUAAAGAAGGAACAUCUAAAAGAGUGAGGGGGCUAAUCCUAGGAUUCAUUCUAGUCUAGCUUGGGGAGCUAUAGUCUUGAGAACUACCAUUCAGACUAAAAAAUACUUUAAUUAAAAGUUAUAUAAAAUGAUUAUAUAAAUGCUAUAUAAUAAUUAUACAGAAGUACAAAUGACAGUGUAAUGAAUCCCUAUGUAUCCAUCCAUCCCUUCUGAGAAAGAGUCUGUCUCCUGUUGUCACAUACUGAUUAAAUGGGCCCCUUCUGCCGGCCUUCUGGUUAGAUGAAUGGCUCGUAGAAUGUAUCAUUCUUGAAUUUUCUGUGUUGAGUGCAUAACUUGCAGCCUUUGGUUAUCCUUUAUGGUAUUGGGUAGUAAUCUGAGCCUCAUGAGUCAUAAUCUAAUACCACUAUUCUCAGUAAACACCUUUGUUAGCCUUAUAACUCUUGAUCAUGUUUUGUCUUUCACCGAGAUGUCAAGCUCCAGCCCUUGAGAAUUGUCUUAGUAAGAUAAUUUCAGAAUGAGUCUUAGUCUCUAACAAAAAUGUAUUAUUCUUGGUUAAACAUUGGGAAUAACUUGAGUGUCAUGUAAGCUUUGUGAACUGACAAGUUGAAAGGCUUAGGUUGACUUAGAUAGGAUUAUGUACAAACUUUGAAAGUAUGAAGGAAAAAUUUUAAACUUACACUUUUGAAAGCAUCCAGUAAGCUAUUUUUUUAGCAUCCACGUUUUACUAUAAAAUUAAUCCUGCUGCUUCUUUACCAGUGAGGUCAUAAGGUUAUGUUUUAAAAGGUCCUAAAACAUGCACCCACAGUAACGUACUGGGUGAUAACUUCUACUAGUGGAGAGCUAUUCAUUGCACUUAUGCAAAUUAGGUGGCCCAUCACUUGCUUUUAUUCCAUUCCAUAGAAGUACCUUUGUGCCUCUGGAGCUGAGCACAGGCUGUAAUAGUUGCCUUUGAGUUUAAAUCUUUGUGAAAGCAGAGAAAUUCUCUAUUUGAGCAUUUGAUGUGUAUGAGAUUUUUCAAUAAUUUUUAGACAUGAAUAAGAAUGUGUUGAUCCCAUUCAUUAAAGGAAGAGACUCUUGUUAUAAAUAUGAUAGAACUUGUUCACUUUAUUUUCAAGUGUCUAUUGGGAUAAUUUUCACUUCUCUGGCUGCCUAAAGUGACCACACAAAAUGUAGUUUAGUUCUACCUUUUAAACCUAAGUUGUAGAUUAUAGACACAUUUUCAAUGUGCAACACAACAGUAGGCAUUCUUGUUAAAUUAGUUUGAGAAAUUCCUUUUAUUUUGUACAAGGUAUGGUCCCUUUGCACAGUGAACAAAUAUAUUACAAAUCUGGGUUAUUUAAAAAAGUAUUGCCAUUUCAUAGUCUCACUUAUGCUAUUGUACAAUAAUAGUGUUUCCUUUAUUCAUUUGAAUUGAAUGCAGAUUACUUUGAGUGAAAACUGGUUUCUUUAAAAUAAACAGAUCUUUCCAAGUUGCCAACAAAAUGCACAGACACAUAUUUAGGUUGACCAUGAACCUAUGUGUGACAGUGCUAGACAGAAGUUCCUAACAGUUGCUCUGUAAGAAUGAAAUGUCUUUUACCAGUAACUCUUAGAUCUGUGAAGGCAGCUGUUGUCACCAGAGAUGAAUCACACCCUCUGCCUUCCCCUUCUCUGUAUUGCCUAAUUUGAAUUGUAUUACAUUUCUUUAACAGUCAUAGAAUGCUAGAGCCAGAGGGUUGUUAGAGCUUCUUCCCUCUCUCUCCUUCUCUCCUUUUUAAUACGUGAGGAAGAAAGCCCAGAGAGGGCAAGUAACACUCAAAUCUCUUGACCCCAUGCUUUAGCAGUUCCACCAUGCUCCCUCUUGCUGAAUUUUGCCCAUAAGAUAGUUGGCAAACAAGAGGCGACACUUGAAACUGGCAUGAUGCUGCUUGUUUGCAGUGUGCCAGGCAGCAAUGACUGUACACGAAGGGUAGGGGAAGAAGAUAAAGCCUGGGAUUGAGAUGAAGUUUCUCCUGGCUGAUCUGACUUCGCCAUGCUUCUUGAUCCUUGCUUUACAAAGGCUUUUGUGGAAAGGAAAUUUGCUAUUGCUGAUCACUUGCUCCCAUGCACACAUGCAGCAUUCAUGUAAGUAUUCUAUGCUUUCCCCUAACAGUAAAAUUUGCUUAAGCCGUGAGUGAAGUGAGGGAGGGGGAUUUACUUGUUUAUUUUCUUGCUUUUGCUGGUCAUUGCCCCAACUAAUGGGUUCCAUGGCAGACUUCCAGGUUGUAUCAAGGGCUUCAGGACUCCCACACUUCCUGUCGCUGCUAUUCCAUCUUUGCGGUCAUUUAGUUCCUCUUCUGUUUACCUUUUUGGAAGUAUUUUUUACUGGCUGGCUGUUACCAGAGAAUGGAGUGGUGUAGGGGUGGCCAUUAGUUUCCUCGGGUUGUCCUUCUGGUCUUUAAUUCUUGUGAGGAGGUCCUCUUUUUUAGGGCUUGGGAGUUGGCUCCAGUUUGACUCAAACUGAGCCCCAGUUUACCUGGUUAGUAGUGGAAGGUACAGACACGUCUAAAUACUGGGAUCUGGAGCAUUAGCUCAUUGUAAUAUGUUUUUGGCCAUUUCAGUAGGUGGUGGUUUUAAGGUAGAAGUACUUCAUAUCCUUAUUUGCUGUUUACUGUAAAGUUUUACAUCAUGUUACAGCAACUGAUUACAGUCCAUUCUUUUCAUUUAGUUCCAUCAAAAAGCAUCAUGUAAUUUAAGCAGCUUAUUAAACUUUUAAACUUGCUAUAUCCACUUUUAUCUAAUUUCUUCUACACUUUUGGGUUGUAUUCUACAUCAAGCUCAAGAUUUAUGAAGAAAUGCAUGAAAGCAAGUACUCUUCUGAGUUAAGGGAUGCCAAUCAAAUAAAUUCGGGAGGCCUUUUAGGGAUACUUCCUUCUUACCAGUCUGUGACUGCUUGCUUAAAGGCAUCAUCUCAGAAUUCUGUUUCACAUGGAAUGACUCGUGUUGGAUGGAUUGAGGAGCUAUGACCAGGCUAGGAAUGACUUGGCAGUGUUCUCAAACUUUGAAUCAGCAAGAUUUGGUAAAGCUGGCCUAGAAAUCAUUAUAGACUGAAAGAGGCUACUGCGCUUUGGAAACUUCUCCUCCUUACUACCACGAAGGGCAGAAGAGGGAAAGUUAAUUUGUAUUUAUUAAAGUCUUAUUUUUUAAAAAUUGAAGUUGUCAGUAUUAGAUUGUAUACUAUAAUCUUGGCUGUUGUGAUUUGACAGGUCAGACAUAGAUGUACAGGUACUUUAGGAUUGAUAUUAGCACAGUUUGUGUGCUAUUUAUCUUAGGUAAUAAAACAGAUGUUGAGGGUAACAGCAACCAAAAGCACAUACAUUUCGGGAUCUUGAAUCCUUUCCCCUCCCCAGUUCCCUUUUCCCCCAGGAAGGUUUGUGAAACCUAUGCUGUAUGCUUUCUAAGCAUCACGUUUCAGAGAAUUACGUAUCUCAAUAUAUGUAUUUAGCUGAUGUUGAUGAGUAGCUGGAUCUUAAGUGUUUUUAAAAGAUCAUGUAAUCCUGGGCAUUUGGGGUUGGGUGUGGGUGAGUGAUAGGAUUUGCCUUUGUGAACAGACUGUUUGAAUAAUUACCCCAGUCCCACUUGGAAGUUCUUCUUUAGUUCCAGGUGAAAGUAAUGACUAACACGCAGCUGGAGUCAGUCUGUAUCAUUAUUUCGAGUCAAGGGAUUGUCUUCUUUCAGAGUCAGAAUAUUCAGCAGAACACAUUGCAAGAGAGAGGCUUCUCUCUCUUAAGACUGCUUGUCCUGGGAGGGCCCAUUGGCAGGGCUUUGUCUUACUGGGAGGAGGUCAUAAUGACCAGGAAUAUGGCUGUUCCUAGGUAGGUCGUAUGGAUUCUGGAUAUAGCUGGAGUUAUGACCGCGGCCUUCUUGGACCACACUGAUUGUGGGCUCUAAGGAAUAUAGUGAAAAAUGAGUUCAGAGAACAGAUUAGCUUUGGUUGCCUUGUUGAGGGGAAUAGAGUUCUAUUUAACUUGCUAGGGAGAGAAGCCAGGGAUUUAUAAAUCUGUGAUAAAUAUAUGAGGGUUAGGAUUGAGGCUUGCUCACGAAAUGGAGAAUCUAAGUGAGUGUACUAUUAGAAUCCCAAGCUCUGGUCAAAACCAAGAGGUCUGGAUCUUAUCAGUAAGUCCAGGGACAUAGGGGAAACCGGGAGAAGGUCGAAGACGGUGAUUUAGAAACUUGCACGUCUGUUCUGAUUGAAUCACUUGAGGUGUGUAUACCCACUGAUUCUCCACCCCCAGCAUUUCUGCUUCAUAGUAGUCCUGGUAUUUUUUUUUAAAGCAGAGUUGACAUGAGAAUUUGAUUUCCUGCAUGAGAGAGGAGGGUAAUCCUGGGAAAGACCGUUCACCUUGGAUUCCUUAAAAAGCAACAAAAGAAGGGUGUGUUUUCAAGACAGGAUGUCAACAAGGAUGGCAUAUCUGUGUACGGAGACCCCCUGUGCAUAGGCGACUUCAUUUCUACAUAGCUGCUUUCUGGAAGCUUGCAGGGAAGACGGAUGGUGGCAACUGACAUCUGCCGCGUGCUCAUUAGGUGCAGGAGCCAUCCACGGGGGAGCAGGUACCACCGUUGUUACAGCCACAGAGAGACGAGCAGUUGGGGCCAUAGGUUCCUGUGGCACAUGGAACUGCACAGACCUCUCCCUGGAAGAGGAGGAGGUGAAUUUUGGAUCAGACGCUGUCCCACGCUGGGGGGCUAGGGGAGGCAGAAUAAUGCCCUCCCCUCCAGCCCCCACAAAAGAUACCCAUCUUCUAAUCCCUGGAACCUGCGAAUAUGGCACCUUAUGUGGCAAAGGGGACUCUGCAGAUGUGAUUAAGGACCCUGAGAUGGGGAGAGUAUUCUAGAUUAGGCAGGUGGACCCAAUUUAAUCACACGAGUCCUUAAAAGUGAAAGAUGACUAAAGCCGGUCCUCCAUCAGCCUGUGUUGACCUUGAAGAUGGAGGAAGGGGGAACACAGCAUAGGGAGGUAGCGGCCCGUGAAAGAUAGGAACCACCCUCAUUUUAGAGCCAGCAAGAACAUGGGGACCUCGGUCCUACAACCCGGGGAACUGAAUUCUGCCAACUUCCGGAAUGAGCAGGAAGUGGAUUCUCUCCUGGAACCUCCAGAAAGGACCACAGCCUGCAGACCUUGACUUUAGUCCGAUGAGACCCAAACCUGACCUACAGAACUGUAAGAUAAUAAAUCUGUGUCGCCUUAAGCUACUAAA